rnacentral:rRNA from 1 species
GGCGACCCGCGCCCGGGUGAGUGACGCCUUUCCAGCCUUCCCCUGACUUGGGCCUCUCCCGGUGACAGUCCCAUUCAUUCCCUCUGUUGUGUUUUCACGACAUCUGAGGACUACGCAUAGUGUUUACCGCUCCCGGAUGGGGAUGCGUCUGAUUAGGUAGUCGGCGGGGUAACGGCCCACCUAGCCUUCUAUCAGUAGGGGUUCUGAGAGGAACGCCCCCCACAUUGUAACUGAAACCCUGUCCAAACUCCUACAGGAGGCCGCUGUGAGGAAUAUUGGUCAAUGGGCGCGAGCCUGAACCUCCCUAGUACCGUGCAUGACGACGGCCCUAUGGGUUGUAAACUGCUUUUAUGCGGGGAUAAAGUUCACUACUUGUAGUGUUUUGUAGGUACCGCAUGAAUAAGGACCGGCUAAUUCCGUGCCAGCAGCCGCGGUAAUACGGAAGGUCCGGGCGUUAUCCGGAUUUAUUGGGGUUUAAAGGGAGCGCAGGCCGCAGGUCAAGCGUGAUGUGAAAUGUAGCCGCUCAACCGCGCUGAAUUGCAGUCGCGAAACUGGCUUUCUUGAGUGAGUUCGAUGUGGGCGGAAUUCGCGGUGUAGCGGUGAAAUGCUUAGAUAUCACGAAGAACUCCGAUUGCGAAGGCAGCCCACCAGGCCUUUACUGACGCUAAUGCUCGAAGGUGCGGGUAUCGAACAGGAUUAGAUACCCUGGUAGUCCGCACGGUAAACGAUGGAUGCCCGCGGUUUGUGAUAUACUGUGAAAUGCGAAGAAAAACCGGUCAGCAUCCCAUUACGGGGAGUACGCGCACAGAAGUAAACUGUCAAUAAUUGUACGGGGCCCCGCAACAGAGCGAAAGAUCAUGCAGUUUAUCUCGGUGAUAAAAGAGGAUCCUUCCCAAGGUCAAUUUCAGCGCAAGGAUACAGAGAGGUUCAGGCCCUUGGGGACCGAGCAAGAGUUGUCGCAUGGUCGUCGUCAGCUAGUGCGGUGAGGUGUUGAGUUAAGAGCCAUAAGGCGUGCAUACCCUUUUCACUAGUUGAUAUCAGGCGACGUGGGCCAUUACGCUGCUUGCACCACAAUCAGAUGCAUCGCCAUCCGGGAGGGAGUCAAUAUCUGCUCGGACUGAAAGUCUGUGGUUACACAGCAGAGACCAUUAAUGGUACAGAGACUGGGUUAUUCCCAAAUCAGAUGCAAUCCGGAAAGCCAUCAUUAGUUCGGAUGGGGGUCGCCAACCACACCCCCAAAAGACGGUCUUGCUAGCAAUCGAGCAUCAGCCAUGAAGCGGGGAAUAAGUUCUCAUCCCGAGCACACACCACCCUUCAAG